rnacentral:tRNA from 9 species
GUCCCCGUAGCUUAACGGAUAGAGUACUGGGCUUCGGACCCAGUGAUGGGGGUUCAAAUCCUCCCGGGGACA